GAGGAAGGUGGGGAUCGACGUCAAAUCAUCAUGCCCCUUAUGACUUGGGCUACACACGUGCUACAAUGGCGUAAACAAAGUGAAGCGAGAGUGUGAGCUUAAGCAAAUCACAAAAAUAACGUCUCAGUUCGGAUUGUAGUCUGCAACUCGACUACAUGAAGCUGGAAUCGCUAGUAAUCGCGAAUCAGAAUGUCGCGGUGAAUACGUUCCCGGGUCUUGUACACACCNCCCGUCACACUAUGGGAGUCGGAAAUGCCCGAAGUCGGUGACCUAACGAAAGAAGGAGCCGCCGAAGGCAGGUCUGAUAACUGGGGUGAAGUCG
rnacentral:rRNA from 1 species